AAGUAUUAAAAAUAAUUAAUAUAAUAUUUUUUGUAAACUUAAUUUAUGUGUAUUUUUACAGUUUUAAUAUAAAAUCAUUUCAAAAUUAUUAUAAAUGAAUAAAUGCUUUAUUUCAGAUAUAAAUCAUAAAAAUUUUAGUCCUAUUUUUUUUUUAAAUUAUAUAUAUAUACGCUUCCAAUACGUACCCGCUUCCUAAUAUUUUUAAAAAAAUCGCUUAUGCGCUUCCUUACGCUUAUGCUUCCACGUACCCGUUUCCGUUUCCAUGUAGACAAGAUAUAAACAAAGCCAUGAUUUUCGUAAAUAGAUCAGUAUAGAGUAUGAACAAUAUCGAUAAAGUGCAAACUCAUGUAUCCGUUUGCAAAUUUGAACAGAUUGAUCGAUAAUGGAAUAUGCUGUGUUAAGAGUUUAGCUAAUGAGCUUCUUUUUUUUUUUUAAAUAAGCUAUAAUUUGUUUUCUGAAUUCGUAUAAAAUGCAACCCGAUUGAUCUUAGUUGACCCGACUUAACCCGAACGAUCGUAACAAAGAAUAUGGGAUUUCGUAGAUCGGCCCAUCUGAGAAUUUAAAUGAAGCGACUCCCUCUCCAUCGUAAAACCCUAUUCUUUCAUAGUUUCGUAUCAGCCGCCGUGCAAGGACCCGGUAUCUAAACCAGACCCGACUAAAAAAAUCAAUGGGCUUUACAGGUUCCGGCCCAGUAAACUGAUGGAAAUACGUUGCUUUAUUUAACGGAUCAGACGACACCUUCACUCGAAAACCCUAGUUCUUCGCUCUUGUAUCAAAUGCCGUUUUUUUUUUCUGUAAAAUCUCCAGCGCAGCUUUAGCGUCGGAGUUUCAAUUCAUUUUGCACUCUGUCUCGAUGGCUAUGUCAAACUGAGUGGCAUAGUCAUUGAGCAACAGUGCAUAAACGAAUAGCUGUUAGAUCAGCAAGCGGCCAGACAACCGUUGGGAUAGAUCCACAGGUGAAGCGGAUUUUUCCUCUGCUUUCAGCUACUAAAUCUAUCCUACAAUCAAUCGUGUUCACAUGAAUUUUAUUUUAUUUUGUUUGUUUUGUGUGUUGCAUUUGAGAUUAGUUGCACCUUGUAUCGAAUGUUAUGCCUCGUCCUGGUGGCAUGGCUAUUUUUCGAGGAUGCAGAAAAUAAUAGCUGUUGAAUCAGCAAGCGGCCAGACAACCGUUGGGAUAGAUCCACAGUUGAUUCAGAUUUAAUCUGUUCUCAGCUACUAAAUCUAUCUUACAAUCUGUUUUCUUAUGAAUCCGAAUUAGAGCAAAGCUUGUUGUUUUUAAGUUGGCAUGUGAUUGGUUCGACGAUUGGUUUUUGAUAUGUUAUAGUUAUCUGGUUUUUGCAAGUCAUUACACGGUGCUUUUACUUUUUAGCUGCUGCUGGUUCUUGAAAAAGGUUUUUGUUUUGUGAGGAUUAUUGUAGUGAUUUCAAGAAAUCUUAUUGGAAUCAUAGUUGAUUGUUCCUGUGCA